rnacentral:rRNA from 1 species
AUUGAACGCUGGCGGCAGGCUUAACACAUGCAAGUCGAGCGGAGAUGAGGUGCUUGCACCUUAUCUUAGCGGCGGACGGGUGAGUAAUGCUUAGGAAUCUGCCUAUUAGUGGGGGACAACAUUCCGAAAGGAAUGCUAAUACCGCAUACGCCCUACGGGGGAAAGCAGGGGAUCUUCGGACCCUGCGCUAAUAGAUGAGCCGAAGUCGGAUUAGCUAGUUGGUGGGGUAAAGGCCUACCGAGGCGACGAUCUGUAGCGGGUCAGAGAGGAUGAUCCGCCACACUGGGACGGAGACACGGCCCAGACUCCUACGGGAGGCAGCAGUGGGGAAUAUUGGACAAUGGGCGGAAGCCUGAUCCAGCCAUGCCGCGUGUGUGAAGAAGGCCUUUUGGUUGUAAAGCACUUUAAGCGAGGAGGAGGCUACCUGGAUUAAUACUCUAGGAUAGUGGACGUUACUUGCAGAAUAAGCACCGGCUAACUCCGUGCCAGCCGCCGCCGUAAGAC